GACGAACGCUGGCGGCGUGCUUAACACAUGCAAGUCGAGCGGUAAGGCCCUUUCGGGGGUACACGAGCGGCGGACGGGUGAGUAAUGCUUAGGAAUCUGCCUAGUAGUGGGGGAUAACCCGGGGAAACUCGGGCUAAUACCGCAUACGCCCUACGGGGGAAAGGCGGGGGACGUUUCGGGCCUCGCGCUAUUAGAUGAGCCUAAGUCCGAUUAGCUAGUUGGUAGGGUAAGUGGCCUACCAAGGCGACGAUCGGUAGCNGGUCUGAGAGGACGACCAGCCACACUGGGACUGAGACACGGCCCACGACUCCUACGGGAGGGCAGCAGUGGGGAAGUAUUGGACAAUGGGGGCGAACCCUGAUGCAGCGACGCCGCGUGAGCGAUGAAG
rnacentral:rRNA from 1 species